rnacentral:sRNA from 1 species
AACUUGUUGGUUAGGACAUUUUUAAAUUAUAUUGUUUUUGCCAAUGCUAAUAAGUUGCUCAGUACUUGGAAUGUAGUGAUGUAGACAUGCAAUACAUCAUUUUGACUACAUCGUAAUGAACUCUUCCCUUCUUUUGACGAUAUGAGAUGCGAAUUAUCUCUUAAUUGUCAAACUGAGGAACAUAUGCGUGUAUCAGAAUUACAUCAGAAUUCAGAAGGAAAAUCUAUUGAAAUUUUGACACAUUCUUGUCUUCAAAAGAACAAAGGAAGAUAUCACUAAAUAAUAAGUUCAAUGUUGUAUGAGAAAAAUAAGCACUUUGGGGAUACGCAUGCAUGAUCAAAUAGAUGUUAGAAAUGAAGCUGAGCUUUCUAAUUGAGCCUUCCCCACCAAAACAAAAAGGAGGGAGAGCCUAAUGAGUCAAAAUGUUCAGUUUGCAACAUAUAAAGCUACUUCACCAUGACGCAUGUCAUAGUGGUCCUGUGCAGGACAAUUUGUCAGGUUAAGAUUUAUUCAUACUGCAAAAAGGGGUACUAUUAAUAAUAAAACCAAGGACAAUCUGGAGAUGGAUAAAUACCGUCAAAGUGAGUUGCCCUGCAAGAAUAAAGACGGCAAUAAAGCUGUUUAUGAGUGCAAAGGUUCUUCUUCUGGCAGUUGGGCUUGAUAUUGUUGUAGCAACUAUCGUCACUUUCUGGAAAUCAGGUAGAAUUCAAAUGGAUGGUAAAUGG